UACGUAGGGUGCAAGCGUUGUCCGGAAUUAUUGGGCGUAAAGAGCUCGUAGGCGGUCUGUCGCGUCGGCUGUGAAAACCCGAGGCUCAACCUCGGGCCUGCAGUCGAUACGGGCAAACUAGAGUACUGCAGGGAGACUGGAAUUCCUGGUGUAGCGGUGAAAUGCGCAGAUAUCAGGAGGAACACCGGUGGCGAAGGCGGGUCUCUGGGCAGUAACUGACGCUGGAGGAGCGAAAGCGUGGGGAGCGAACAGG
rnacentral:rRNA from 1 species